rnacentral:rRNA from 1 species
GGGGAGCCUAUACAGGUGUUGCAUGGCUGUCGUCAGCUCGUGUCGUGAGAUGUUCGGUUAAGUCCGCUAACGAGCGCAACCCUCGUCGUAUGUUAUAUGUGUCAUACGAGACUGCCGGUAAAAAGCCGGAGGAAGGUGAGGAUGAUGUCAAGUCAGCAUGACCUUUAUAUCCAGGGCUACACACACGCUACAAUGGUCUGUACAAUGGGUAGCCAAGCCGCGAGGCGGAGCCAAUCCUGAAAGCAGGCCUCAGUUCAGAUUGCAGUCUGCAACUCGACUGCAUGAAGCCGGAGUUGCUAGUAACCGCAGGUCAGCAAUACUGCGGCGAAUACGUUCCCGGGUCUU